GUACGAGUGCUGGAGCCGAUGAUCUCGGAGUCCGAACUCAUUCUUUUGAAAAUUAGAAAAAUGGGAAUAUUAGUAAAUAUGGAUUUUCUUGUUAAGAAGAAAAUGGAAGAUGGAUUGAAAAAACAUAAAAGAGUUUUUUUUUUUCUUCUUCUUUUUUGCUUCAAGAGAGAGACGGAGAGGUACUCAUAAACAUUAUGGUAUGUUCUCUUCGAAGCAGCCAUUGAUCGAUCUCCCUCCAAUAGCUGAAUAGAAUAGAAGAAAUCAGAGCACACGAAGUGAAAGGUGUUGAUGGGAUUCAUCUGCUAGCACAAUGGUUUGAUUUUCAGAUUCAUUGCUCCGAUGACAACCGGAUAUUAGAUUCAUUGCUCCUUGUGUGUGUACUAGUUGAUUUUGGAGGUUCUUUUAUAAUGAGCAUACUGUUCCCAGCCUCAUCAUGAGAUCAGGAAGCAAGCUUGCUCAGAUCAGCAACGUAACAUUGCAUGUAGAAUGUCAGGGGCUACUGUCAGCCUCAUGGAAGAUAGACCUGAGCUAACUGAAAAGGUGGUCCAAAUAUCCGGUAGUUCUGAGCAGGCUGAGAGAGCCCAGAGCCUUCUCCAGGGAUUUAUUCUGAGCACACAAGAUGCCACACCAAGCUAAAUCUGAGCUAUGGGUGUUGUAAAGCCGAGAUCUUGUAAGGUAGUAAUGGAUGCUUUCAGUUUUCACCAGUAAUCUGUUUUCCCAUAAUCUGGCAGUUAUCAACAAUCUUUGUAUAAAAGGCUCUGGAGAUGGAACCUUGCAUGCAUGGAGCAUCAGCAGAUGCAAUGAGGUGGCAUCCUGGAACACCUUUGUUGUUGUGGCGGCUUGCUUGAAGUGGGCCCCUUGUCGGGCUAUGUUUGUCACCGCAUCUGUUUGGGUGAAAAGAUGAUAGUAAGAGGCAUAACAUUGUUGUCAUCCAGGUAAAUUCUCUUUCUCGAUUUUCCUAUACGCUUCAGUGACAUCUUACCUAUUUGGGUGAAUUUUUGGACUCUUGUUUUAUUUAUUUACACUAGUAGGUCAUUUUUGAAAAUAAGGGGUAGUUGUUCAUACAGAAAUCGUUUGCUGCAAUCAAAAUACAGAAAUCGUCAUCAUCCUCCAUGG